rnacentral:rRNA from 1 species
GACGAACGCUGGCGGCGUGCUUAACACAUGCAAGUUGAACGGAAAGGCCCUGCUUUUGUGGGGUGCUCGAGUGGCGAACGGGUGAGUAACACGUGAGUAACCUGCCCUUGACUUUGGGAUAACUUCAGGAAACUGGGGCUAAUACCGGAUAGGAGCUCCUGCUGCAUGGUGGGGGUUGGAAAGUUUCGGCGGUUGGGGAUGGACUCGCGGCUUAUCAGCUUGUUGGUGGGGUAGUGGCUUACCAAGGCUUUGACGGGUAGCCGGCCUGAGAGGGUGACCGGCCACAUUGGGACUGAGAUACGGCCCAGACUCCUAAGGGAGGCAGCAGUGGGGAAUAUUGCACAAUGGGCGGAAGCCUGAUGCAGCAACGCCGCGUGCGGGAUGACGGCCUUCGGGCUGUAAACCGCUUUCGCCUGUGACGAAGCGUGAGUGACGGUAAUGGGUAAAGAAGCACCGGCUAACUACGUG